GACAGAGGCCCCAAGCGUUAGGCGGAAUCACUGGGCUUACAGCGUGUGUAGGCGGAUCGUUAAGUGUCUUGUGAAAUCCCACGGCUCACCCGUGGAACUGCUGGGCAUACUGGCGAUCUUGGGCCAACUAGGGGCAGCCGGAACAAGCGGUGGAGCGGUGAAAUGCGUAGAUAUCGCUUGGAACGCCGAAGGUGAAAACAGGCUGCUGGGGUUGCGCCGACGCUGAGACACGAAAGCCAGGGGAGCAAACGGG
rnacentral:rRNA from 1 species